rnacentral:rRNA from 1 species
UACGUAGGGUGCGAGCGUUGUCCGGAAUUACUGGGCGUAAAGCGUGCGCCGGCGGUUAUGCCAGGCCGAUGUGAAAUCCCCGGGCUCAACCUGGGAACUGCAUUUGUGACUGCAUGGCUAGAGUACGGUAGAGGGGGAUGGAAUUCCGCGUGUAGCAGUGAAAUGCGUAGAUAUGCGGAGGAACACCGAUGGCGAAGGCAAUCCCCUGGACCUGUACUGACGCUCAUGCACGAAAGCGUGGGGAGCAAACAGG